GGAGACGUGGCCGAGUGGUCGAAGGCGCUCCCCUGCUAAGGGAGUAAGCGGUUUGUCCCGCUUCGAGGGUUCGAAUCCCUUCGUCUCCGCCA
rnacentral:tRNA from 1 species